rnacentral:misc_RNA from 1 species
UGCUCGCGCAUCGAACUACUUACCACCUGUCCUUCUCAGUUGCUUCACGAGCAUAGAUAUGCUCGUUGACUAGACCGGGGGCUUGUGCUGCGUACCUAACAGAAGGAAUUGUUGAGUUUGGGAAAAAACGUUGGUUGCGGCUUCUCCUUAGCCGGGGGAGUCGUGAUCACAAAAGCCGGCGCUCGUGAUCCUUGCUACUCGGCACGACGUGCCUUGCUUGCACAGGCGAAUGAGCCGUCGGCUGAACUUUCGGAUGCGGAACGGAUAAGGAUGGUGACUCGAAGCAAUUCAGUCCCACCUAACCACGGUUGUCCCUUUGGCACGAGAUGACGGUCGAGUCCCCGUCCGUUCUUUCUUACCUAGCGUUCGAGAGAAUCGGUCGGGGGCUUGCCGUGAUUUACGGAUGCUACCUGGU